UACAGAGGUGGCAAGCGUUGUUCGGAAUUACUGGGCGUAAAGGGCGCGUAGGUGGCCUUCUUAGUCAGACGUGAAAUCCCCAGGCUUAACCUGGGAACUGCGUCUGAUACUGGAAGGCUCGAGUUCGGGAGAGGAAUGUGGAAUUCCAGGUGUAGCGGUGAAAUGCGUAGAUAUCAGGAAGAACACCCGUGGCGAAGGCGGUUCUCUGGGACGGUACUGACGCUGAGACGCGAAAGCGUGGGGAGCGAACAGG
rnacentral:rRNA from 1 species